rnacentral:rRNA from 1 species
UCGCGAAACCUCCGCAAUACACGAAAGUGUGACGGGGCCAUCCCGAGUGCCAUCCGCUGAGGAUGGCUUUUCCCCAGUGUAGACAGCUGGGGGGAAUAAGGAGAGGGCAAGCCGGGUGUCAGCCGCCGCGGUAAUACCCGCUCUCCGAGUGGUGGGGACGCUUAUUGGGCCUAAAGCAUCCGUAGCCGGCUGGAUAAGUCCCCUGUUAAAUCCAGCGAUUCAAUC